UACGUAGGGUCCGAGCGUUGUCCGGAAUUAUUGGGCGUAAAGAGCUCGUAGGCGGCCUGUUGCGUCCGCUGUGAAAUCCCGGGGCUCAACCCCGGGCCUGCAGUGGAUACGGGCUGGCUGGAGGCAGGCAGGGGAGAACGGAAUUCCUGGUGUAGCGGUGAAAUGCGCAGAUAUCAGGAGGAACACCGGUGGCGAAGGCGGUUCUCUGGGCCUGUUCUGACGCUGAGGAGCGAAAGCGUGGGGAGCGAACAGG
rnacentral:rRNA from 1 species